GGAUGCCCUGGCAGUCAGAGGCGAUGAAGGACGUGCUAAUCUGCGAUAAGCGUCGGUGAGGUGAUAUGAACCGUUAUAACCGGCGAUUUCCGAAUGGGGAAACCCAGUGUGUUUCGACACACUAUCAUUAACUGAAUCCAUAGGUUAAUGAGGCGAACCGGGGGAACUGAAACAUCUAAGUACCCCGAGGAAAAGAAAUCAACCGAGAUUCCCCCAGUAGCGGCGAGCGAACGGGGAGGAGCCCAGAGCCUGAAUCAGUGUGUGUGUUAGUGGAAGCGUCUGGAAAGGCGUGCGAUACAGGGUGACAGCCCCGUACACAAAAAUGCACAUAUUGUGAGCUCGAUGAGUAGGGCGGGACACGUGGUAUCCUGUCUGAAUAUGGGGGGACCAUCCUCCAAGGCUAAAUACUCCUGACUGACCGAUAGUGAACCAGUACCGUGAGGGAAAGGCGAAAAGAACCCCGGCGAGGGGAGUGAAAAAGAACCUGAAACCGUGUACGUACAAGCAGUGGGAGCCUCUUAAUGGGGUGACUGCGUACCUUUUGUAUAAUGGGUCAGCGACUUAUAUUCUGUAGCAAGGUUAACCGAAUAGGGGAGCCGAAGGGAAACCGAGUCUUAACUGGGCGUUAAGUUGCAGGGUAUAGACCCGAAACCCGGUGAUCUAGCCAUGGGCAGGUUGAAGGUUGGGUAACACUAACUGGAGGACCGAACCGACUAAUGUUGAAAAAUUAGCGGAUGACUUGUGGCUGGGGGUGAAAGGCCAAUCAAACCGGGAGAUAGCUGGUUCUCCCCGAAAGCUAUUUAGGUAGCGCCUCGUGAAUUCAUCUCCGGGGGUAGAGCACUGUUUCGGCAAGGGGGUCAUCCCGACUUACCAACCCGAUGCAAACUGCGAAUACCGGAGAAUGUUAUCACGGGAGACACACGGCGGGUGCUAACGUCCGUCGUGAAGAGGGAAACAACCCAGACCGCCAGCUAAGGUCCCAAAGUCAUGGUUAAGUGGGAAACGAUGUGGGAAGGCCCAGACAGCCAGGAUGUUGGCUUAGAAGCAGCCAUCAUUUAAAGAAAGCGUAAUAGCUCACUGGUCGAGUCGGCCUGCGCGGAAGAUGUAACGGGGCUAAACCAUGCACCGAAGCUGCGGCAGCGACACUAUGUGUUGUUGGGUAGGGGAGCGUUCUGUAAGCCUGUGAAGGUGGCCUGUGAGGGUUGCUGGAGGUAUCAGAAGUGCGAAUGCUGACAUAAGUAACGAUAAAGCGGGUGAAAAGCCCGCUCGCCGGAAGACCAAGGGUUCCUGUCCAACGUUAAUCGGGGCAGGGUGAGUCGACCCCUAAGGCGAGGCCGAAAGGCGUAGUCGAUGGGAAACAGGUUAAUAUUCCUGUACUUGGUGUUACUGCGAAGGGGGGACGGAGAAGGCUAUGUUGGCCGGGCGACGGUUGUCCCGGUUUAAGCGUGUAGGCUGGUUUUCCAGGCAAAUCCGGAAAACCAAGGCUGAGGCGUGAUGACGAGGCACUACGGUGCUGAAGCGACAAAUGCCCUGCUUCCAGGAAAAGCCUCUAAGCAUCAGGUAACAUCAAAUCGUACCCCAAACCGACACAGGUGGUCAGGUAGAGAAUACCAAGGCGCUUGAGAGAACUCGGGUGAAGGAACUAGGCAAAAUGGUGCCGUAACUUCGGGAGAAGGCACGCUGAUAUGUAGGUGAAGCGACUUGCUCGUGGAGCUGAAAUCAGUCGAAGAUACCAGCUGGCUGCAACUGUUUAUUAAAAACACAGCACUGUGCAAACACGAAAGUGGACGUAUACGGUGUGACGCCUGCCCGGUGCCGGAAGGUUAAUUGAUGGGGUUAGCGGUAACGCGAAGCUCUUGAUCGAAGCCCCGGUAAACGGCGGCCGUAACUAUAACGGUCCUAAGGUAGCGAAAUUCCUUGUCGGGUAAGUUCCGACCUGCACGAAUGGCGUAAUGAUGGCCAGGCUGUCUCCACCCGAGACUCAGUGAAAUUGAACUCGCUGUGAAGAUGCAGUGUACCCGCGGCAAGACGGAAAGACCCCGUGAACCUUUACUAUAGCUUGACACUGAACAUUGAGCCUUGAUGUGUAGGAUAGGUGGGAGGCUUUGAAGUGUGGACGCCAGUCUGCAUGGAGCCGACCUUGAAAUACCACCCUUUAAUGUUUGAUGUUCUAACGUUGGCCCGUAAUCCGGGUUGCGGACAGUGUCUGGUGGGUAGUUUGACUGGGGCGGUCUCCUCCUAAAGAGUAACGGAGGAGCACGAAGGUUGGCUAAUCCUGGUCGGACAUCAGGAGGUUAGUGCAAUGGCAUAAGCCAGCUUGACUGCGAGCGUGACGGCGCGAGCAGGUGCGAAAGCAGGUCAUAGUGAUCCGGUGGUUCUGAAUGGAAGGGCCAUCGCUCAACGGAUAAAAGGUACUCCGGGGAUAACAGGCUGAUACCGCCCAAGAGUUCAUAUCGACGGCGGUGUUUGGCACCUCGAUGUCGGCUCAUCACAUCCUGGGGCUGAAGUAGGUCCCAAGGGUAUGGCUGUUCGCCAUUUAAAGUGGUACGCGAGCUGGGUUUAGAACGUCGUGAGACAGUUCGGUCCCUAUCUGCCGUGGGCGCUGGAGAACUGAGGGGGGCUGCUCCUA
rnacentral:rRNA from 1 species